UCAAAAUGAGUAAGGAAAUUCCUGAGGUGAUUUCCCGCAGGAUGCUGGGGCAUUUUCAGGGGCCGCUGGAUUUCAUCGCCUCUCCGGGUAGCGAGGAGGCUGGCCAUUUUAAUCCAUACAGUAGUUAUGUUGUCUCAUCCAUGUGCACUUCUGAGGGUGUGAGAACAAAAUCUAGGGGUUCAAAUAGAAUGUGCGGUGUGUGACAUAAGGCUUGGUGUUUACACUCAGUCCGUAAGUAGAUCGGUGCCAUCUGCUUGGACUAUGAGCUCCUUGAAGACACAAACUCUGCCUUAGACAUCUGUAUGUUCUUGGCACUCGAUGUAGCCCCCGGCUCAGAAGACAAUCACAAAGACGCUCACCUGCAUUUAAGACAGAUGGACAUGCGGCUCCAGUUCAGGUCCAGCUCUCUGUGUGCCCUCGAGCAAAGCACACAACCUACACAAGGUCACUGCCUGUGACACCAAGGGAUGCAGUUCGAACAGCUCCGUCAUCACCUCCGAGGUCGCAUACCAUGCACAGCGCUGGACACAGUCAGAGUCAUGACCAUCUUCUUGGGAUUGCUCGCUUCUGUCUAAGCGCUGGUGAAAUUGCUGAAAAUUCUCAUGAAUUAGUAGGAUAUUAGAAUUUUGUUAACUGAAGUAUUGAACGAUCACUAAAUGACUAUUGUCCGUACUGCGUAGUGCUUUUUACAAUCGUUCAGUAAAUUCAAAAGGAAAGCCUGUAGGAGAAGUGAAAUAGAAAAAACUCAUUAAGUACAUAUCCAACAAUACAGGGAGAUGUAUUUUAAACCUCUCAAAAGUGUCCUCCAAAAGGCCUUUUCUAAUUAAUCCAGUGAUUCUGAACACCGCUUUAUAGACCCAACGGUGCUCAGACCAGGUUGUGCUUCAAAAUUAACUGGGCAGCUUUUAUCUUUUUUUAAAAUACAAUCCAUGUGAGGUGUCAAUUAACAUACAGAGAAUUUUGUGUGUGUGUGUGUUAUAAAUCCUGAAAAAUGUCCCUUCUUCUGGUUGCUUCAGCUCUGGGCCAGGGCACAUGGUGGGCAAGCUGACCGUGGCCUGGAUUUCAGCCUCCAUCGGCUUCCUCCACCAGGUGCUCUUGUGCAGUGUGCAGACUUCACAACUGUGCAUGCCAUCCCUGUUCUUGACUUUCCCCACAGAUUCUGAUUCAGGGGGUUUAGAUGAAGCUGAAUAGAUAAUUCUAUUUGAAUAGAUAAUUCUAGCAAGUUCCCCAGGCGAGUCUACUGCACUAGCAUAUUUGAGAAUCACUGCUUUAUGAUACAUUUACUCGGCAAUCAUGUUUUCAUACAGUGCAUUUUUGCGCUUAUUCACUGAUGCUGCAUUACAGCUCUCGAGUGGGUCCUACAGGUAAAAGAAGGUAAGUGUGGAUUUUGGUUAAAGAUGUGAUUUAAAAAUUCACUUCUGUGUUAUGCAAAACUCCUCUUGAGUCAUUGUUGCGGCUGAGAAGCAGCCACGUGGGUCUCAUUGGAACCGGACUCUGACAUGAGCUAAGCAGGCUCGAUGAAGAAGGCUGGCAUCAGCAAUGCCCCCCAAGUCUGGGCACGUGUCCCCCCUGGGGAGGAGCCCCUCGACCCCAGUCAGCACAACUUCUGUGACACCCUGCUUUGCACCUGUCUCUCUGUGCCAGUGGUCACCUGGCGAUAGAUCAAAUGCAGUCUCGUGAGCAGAAAUCAUCCCUGAAGACAGGAAUACAGGAUGUGCUUCUCUGCCUUUAUGGAUGUUGCCCUUAAAAGAAGAUUCCAGGAAAAAGUGUGGAAUGCCAGCCGCCAGGCCCUUGCCGCUCAGCGCCGCCCGCCGUGAGGCGCUGUGCAGACGCUGACCCGGCAGGAGUCCGGUGGUGGUGAGCGGCGGUGCGGUCCCAGGGGGCCUCCGUCAAUAGCCAGGAAUUAAAAUGUCAGAGGUGACCGAAGGUGCAGUCACACCUCAUGGCUGUCCUGUCCUCAUCCCCCCUGAAGACGACAGUGACCCCAUUAUCUAUAUUAAAUUUCACCUAGAAGGAAGUCUAGAA